UCUAUGCACACUGGAACACCAGAUUGCCAACCCCUGGGAACAGAAUGCAACCAGGGAUCUAGAGAGCUGUCACAUCCUGAGAAAUAUUUAAAUUGCGCUGAUUUUCUUCUGGAGUGCUGAGCAGAGGGAAUGAAACUCUCCAUCAAGUCAUAGCUUUGCGGGCAAUAGAUCAGAGGAUACUGCCAGUUUUUCUAAUGGAUUAUUGUUAUCGGGCAGGUUCUUCCUGAAGGCUUUAUUCAGUGAAGUGGCUGUAGCAUGCGUUUCAUGGUGCAGCCUUGACACAGUAAUCCAGCCCUUCUGACAACUGUUAGAUUCACUGAGGUUAAAGGGGAUUUGCAUUGUGAUUUUUCUAAUCAGACCCCAACCUGUGCUUUGAUUUGGUAACACUGUUGCUGGAC